GAUGAACGCUGGCGGCGUGCCUAAUACAUGCAAGUCGAACGAACAGACGAUGAGCUUGCUCCUCUGACGUUAGCGGCGCGCGGGUGUGUAACACGUGUAUAACCUACCUAUAAGUCUGGGAUAACUUCGGAACACCGGAUCUAAUACCGGAUAAUAUAUUGAACCGCGUGGUUCAUUAGAGAAAGACGGUUUUGCUGUCACUUAUAGAUGGAUCCGCGCCGCAUUAGCUGGUUGGUAAGGUACCCGGUUUUCAAGGCAACGAUGCGUAGCCGACGUGAGGGGGUGAUAGGCCACCUGGGAACGGGGACAGGGACCAGGCGCCUACGGGAGGGAGCAGAAUGGAAUCGUCGGCAACGGGCGAAAGCCUGACGGAGCAAGGCCGAGUGAGUGACAAAGGUCUUGGGAUCGUAAAGAUCUGCUAUUGGGUAAGAACAAAUGUGUAAGUAAACAUGCCCGUAUUGACGGUACCGAAUCAGAAAGCCACGGCUAACUACGUG
rnacentral:rRNA from 1 species